rnacentral:sRNA from 1 species
GUUUAUAUCUUGUGUACUGUGUAUAAAUGAGUCUUACAUUAUUAUAUACUUAACAAGAAUAUUUCCUUGAUGUGUUCCCUAUUCUCCUUUGUUGUAUUUAAUGGUCCGACUUUGCCAAGGUAUCAGACAUUGCCUAAGGACUAGAUUUAUACUCUAGGAAUAAUGGCCUGACGUUGAGUUCGCUCAGCUAAUGUUAAAAUAUGUAAGGUGUUUUAAGGUGUCUGUUUGUGUGAUCGCGAAUGCUUUGGUCAGGAUAUGCAUAUAUGAUUGCUUGUGUGUGAGUGGCUGGAAUGGGCCCACUGGUCACCACUUGAUGAUCCAACUUAACACUAAUGAGAGACCCCUUGUGUCGCCUUCACCAAAUCCAUUCAUUCAUCCUCCUAGAUGUAUUGUUCUGUCUGUGGGGAUUCUAACAGACCUCCAGGACCUCUCAGUGUCAACUGGUGAGGAUUAGUUGUCCCGGGACUUCAUUGGGGAAAAAAAUUAUCGCAAGACCAGACAAUUUGUAAAGAAUAACCAAUGAUAGAUUAUAUAUAGUCCUCUAGACUCCUUAUGAGCUGAUUGUAGUGCUGCUUGGCGUCAUACUUGGGUUGACGAUAAGUUAACAUCAGGAAAUUGUACCGGUCUGGCCUAUUGUGGAGUUCCGCAACGUGUUGUCCAGGAGCAUUGUUGAUCAGCCCAGCUUUAAGUGUUGGACAUAAAACAUCAGAUCAAUUGGCCUUCAGGCUGAUCUGUCAGCUGGUGAACGAUCCGAGGAAGUCAUUGACUAUAGAUAGUUUUGGAUCUUCGACCUUUAAUGAACAUGAAAGACUGAUGUAUUUUUUUGGCCACUCGCUGGUGCUCCUAUAUAUAUCUGCGACUACUUCUGUGUGUGUAUGUGUCCUAGAACUGUUGGACUUUACUAGACACUGACCUUCAAAACUCCGAAGAUCAUGCAUUUCGGUUGAGAUGAAAGCCCAUAUGGCUUGUAUGUAUAAUGCUGGAAAAGGGACCAGCAAAGGAAACCUAGAACUAUGAACAAUUCUGAACAAAGUUCUUACAUUUGUUGU